AGGCAGCAGUGAGGAUAUUGGUCAAUGGACGAGAGUCUGAACCAGCCAAGUAGCGUGAAGGAUGACUGCCCUAUGGGUUGUAAACUUCUUUUAUACGGGAAUAAAGUGAGGCACGUGUGCCUUUUUGUAUGUACCGUAUGAAUAAGGAUCGGCUAACUCCGUGCCAGCAGCCGCGGUAAUACGGAGGAUCCGAGCGUUAUCCGGAUUUAUUGGGUUUAAAGGGAGCGUAGGCGGACGCUUAAGUCAGUUGUGAAAGUUUGCGGCUCAACCGUAAAAUUGCAGUUGAUACUGGGUGUCUUGAGUACAGUAGAGGCAGGCGGAAUUCGUGGUGUAGCGGUGAAAUGCUUAGAUAUCACGA
rnacentral:rRNA from 1 species